rnacentral:rRNA from 1 species
CAGCAGCCGCGGUAAUACGGAGGAUCCAAACGUUAUCCGGAAUCAUUGGGUUUAAAGGGUCCGUAGGCGGUUUAGUAAGUCAGUGGUGAAAGCCCAUCACUCAACGGUGGAACGGCCAUUGAUACUGCUAAACUUGAAUUAUUAGGAAGUAACUAGAAUAUGUAGUGUAGCGGUGAAAUGCUUAGAGAUUACAUGGAAUACCAAUUGCGAAGGCAGGUUACUACUAAUGGAUUGACGCUGAUGGACGAAAGCGUGGGUAGCGAACAGGAUUAGAUACCCUGGUAGUCCACGCCGUAAACGAUGGAUACUAGCUGUUGGAAGCAAUUUCAGUGGCUAAGCGAAAGUGAUAAGUAUCCCACCUGGGGAGUACGUUCGCAAGAAUGAAACUCAAAGGAAUUGACGG